GGACUCCUACGGGGCGCAGCAGUGAGGAAUAUUGGUCAAUGGCCGAGAGGCUGAACCAGCCACGUCGCGUGAGGGAUGACGGCCCUACGGGUUGUAACCCUCUUUUGUCGGGGAGCAAAGAGAGUCACGUGUGACUCAUUGAGAGUACCCGAAGAAAAAGCAUCGGCUAACUCCGUGCCAGCAGCCGCGGUAAUACGGAGGAUGCGAGCGUUAUCCGGAUUUAUUGGGUUUAAAGGGUGCGCAGGCGGUCUGUUAAGUCAGCGGUCAAAGCCCGGGGCUCAACCCCGGCCCGCCGUUGAAACUGC
rnacentral:rRNA from 1 species